rnacentral:lncRNA from 1 species
UGGCUUUUUACCAUGAAUAUAGUAGUUAUUAUUGAAGCACACUUUCCUCUAGAACAUUGCUACACAAACAGUGGUACAGGGGCCAGGUACAUUAGUAUCAUAUGUGAUCUUCUUAAAAAUGGAAAAUAUUGGUCCUGACCCCAGAUUUAAAAAGUUACAGCCUUCAUUUUAACAAGAUCUCCACUGCAGAUUUAGGUGCACAUGAACAUUUGAGAAGCACUGCCCUAGGUGUCUUACCCCUAGAGAACAGGUGCAUACACUGGUCAUUCUCUGAUUUCUCUCAGUGCUUAAUACACUUCUUGUGCCAUAAGGUUCUAAUGAUUUGUUAACUAAAUUUCUUAAAACAAAUUCUAAAAACUGAAAAUGCACUCAUACUUUAUUUUUAAUUUUUUCUUGAGAUAAAAUUUACAUUACAUAAAAUUCACAAUUUUAACCAUUUUAAAGUGUACAAUUCAGUGGGAUUUAGUAUAUUUACAAUACUGUAAAACUAACAUCACUAUUUAAUCUAUUUAAUUCCAGAAGAUUUCCUUCAUCCUAAAAAGAAAUUCUAUACCUUCCAGUAUCCCUUCCCCCCACCUCUUGGUAAGAACUACCUUGCUUUCUGUCUCUGUGGAUUUGCCUCUUCUGUACGUUUCAUAUGAAUGGAAUGAUACAUUGAUACAUUAUGUGGCCUUCCUUUUGUGGCUUCUUUCACUUAGCAAAAUGUUUUCAAGGUUCAUCUAUAAAACUUUAUUCCUUUUUAUGGCUAAAUAAUAUUCCAUUGCAUAAAUAUACCACAUUUUAUUUAUCCAUUCAUCAGUUGGCAGGCAUUUGGGUUGUUUUUACUUUUCGGCUAUUAUGAAUAUUGAUAUUCAUACGAAGAUUUGUGUACAAAUUUUUAUGAGAACAUGGUUUUUAAUUUUGGAGGAGUAUAUUCGCAGGAGUGGAACUACUAGGUCCUAUAGUAACUAUAUAUUUAACUUUGAGGAACUGCAAAACUAUUUUCAAUAGCAGCUGCACCAUUUUACAUUCCCACUAGCAAUGUACAGGAACUAAAAUUGUUUAUACCCUUGCCAACUCUUGUUAUUUUUCAUUUUAAAAAAAUUAUACCCAUUCUAGUGAGCAUGAAGUGCUACCUCAUUAUUGGUUUUAUUUUUAGUAGAGAUGGAGUAUCACUAUGUUACCCAGGCUGGUCUCCAACUCCUGGGCUCAAGUAACCCUCCUGCCUUGGCCUCCCAAAGCACUGGAAUUAUAGGGGUGAGCCACCACACCUGGCCCAUUGUAGUUUUGCUUUGCAUUUCCCUAAUGACUAAUGAUGCUGAGCAUAUCUCCAGGUUCUUACUGGCCAUACCUUCUUUGGAGAAAUGUUUAUUAAAAAGCAUUGCCCAUUCUUAACUGUUACUCGUCUAUCGUUGAGUUGUAGGAGGUCUUUAUAUAUUCGGAAUACUAGACGUUUAGCAGACAUAUGAUUUGCAAAUAUUCUCUCCCAUUGUGUGGGCUGUCUUUUCACUCAAUUAAUAGUUUCUUUUGAUACACAACUUUUAAAUUUUUGAUGAAAUAAAAAUUAUCCAUUUUUUUAUUUUGAUAUAUAUGGUUUUGGUGUCAUAUUUAGGUAACCACUGCUUAGUCCAAGUUCACAAAGAUAUACAUCUAUGUUUCCUUCUCAGAAUUUGGUAGUUUUAGUGCUACAUUUAGGUCCCUGAUUCUUUUUGGGUUAAUUUUUGUAUAUGGUGUAAUAUAGGGGUUCAGCUUCAUUAUUUUGCACCUGGAUAUCCAGUUGUCCUAGCACCAUUUGUUGAAAAAACUAUUCUUUCCCUAUUAAAUGGUCUUGACACCAUUGCAGAAAUAAGUUGACUGUAGAUGGACGGACUCAUUUCUGGAUUCUCACUUCUAUUGCAUUGAGAUUACAUAGAUAGAUAGGUAGAUAGACAGACAGAUGAUAGAUAGAUAGAUAGAUAGAUAGAUAGAUAGAUAGAUAGAUGAUAGAUAGAUAGAUAAAUAGACAGGUAGACAUAGAGAUAUCUUAUGCCAAUACCACACUGUUUGAAUACCAUUGUUUUGAAAUUGAAAAGUGUGAAUGCUCUGACUUUGUCCUUCUUUUUAAAGAGUUUUGGCCAUUUUUGGUCCCUUGCAAUUCCAAAUGAGUUUUAAUAUCAGCUUGUCAUAUAAGAUCAUGUCAUCUGCAAAUAGGGAUAGUUUUAUUUCUUCCUUUCCUGUGUGGAUGCAUUUUGUUUCUUUUUUCUUUUCUUUUUCCCCCUAAUUCCCUGGGUAAAAUUUCAAAUGCAAAGUUGAAAGGAAGUGACAACAAUGGACAUCCUUGCCUUUUUCCUGAUUUUAGAAGAAAAGCUUUCAGACUUUCAACAUUAAGUAUGAUGUUAGGUGUGGGUUUCUUAUAGAAACCCUUUAUUAAAUUGAGAAUGUCUUCCUUAUUCCCAGUUUGCUAAGUGUUUUUAUCAUGAAAGCAUAUUGGAUUUUGUCAAAUGCUUUCUCUUUGUCUAUUGAAGUGAUCACAUGUAUUGUUUCUUUCAUUUUAUUAAUAUGGUGUAUUACAUUGAUUAAUUUUUAAAUGUUGAACUACCCUUGCAUUCCUGGGAUAAAUUUCACUUGGUAAUGGCGUAUAAUCCUUCCAAUGUUCUGCUGUAGUCGGUUUAUUAGUACUUUGUUGAAGAUUUUUGCAUGUAUAUACAUUAGGGAUAUUAGGCUGUAGUGUUUUUCUUAAAAAAAAGCUACAUGUUUUCGGCAUUGUAUUGAAGUAGUAUUAGCCUCAUGAUAUGAGUUAAAAAUCAUUCCUUCCUCUUCGUUUUUUUUUUUUUUUUUUUUGGAAGAGUGAGAAGGAUUAGUCUUAACCCUCCUUUUAAUAUUUGGUAAAAUUCACCAGUGAAGCCAUUUUGCUCCUGAACUUUUCUUUUGGGAAGUUUUACGAUUAUUAAUCCAACUUCCUUAUUUGUUAUAUGUCUAUUCAGAUUUUCUAUUUCUUCUGAGUCAGUUUCAGUAGUUUGUGCCUUUCUAGGAAUUUGUCUGUAUUAUCUAAGUUAUGUAACUUUUUGCCAUACAGUUGUUCAUAGCAUCCUCUUAUAAUUAUUUUCACCUCUGUAAGGUCAGUAAAAAUGUCCUUAAUUUCAUUCCUGACUUCUUGCUACUUUCAAAAUUAUCUUUGUCUUUUUCUUUCAAUAGUUUGAUUAUGAUUUGUCUAGGGGUAAAUCUCUUUGAGUUUAUCCUGUUGGGUUUUGUUAAAUUUCUUGGGUGUGUAGAUUAAUGUGUUUCAACAAAUUUGGGGAGUUUUGAGCCAUUAUUUAUUUAAAUAUUCUUCUGCCUUUUUUCUCUUCCCUCUCCUUCUAGGACUCCUCUUAUGUGUAUGUUGGUAUAUAUGAUGAUGUCUCACAGAUCUCUCAUGCUGUAUUCAUUUUUUUCUUUAUUCUCUUUCUGCUCCUCAGAUUGGAUAAUCUUAAUUGAUUUAUCUUCAAAUUAACUGAUAUUUUCUUCUGCCUGCCCAAUCUUCAGUUGAUGAAUUUUUCAUUUUAGUUAUUGUACAUUUCAACUCUUAAAUUUCUAUUUGGUAUCUUUUAAUAAUUUCUAUCCCCUUAUUUCUAGUCUCUAUUUUAUGAGAUGUUUUCGUGCUUUUCUUUUUCUAAGCAGGAUUUCCUGUAGCUCUUUGAACAUAUUUAAAAUAGCUACUUUAAAGUCUUUGUCUUACAAGUCUAAUGUCUGGGCUUUCUUAGGAGCCAGUUAUAUUAAUUGCUAUUUUUUCUGUGUAUGGGCCAUAUUUUCCUGUUUCUUUUCGUGCCCCCAAAUUUUUGUUGCAAAUUUGACAAGUUGGAUAUUACAGCAUGGAAACUCUGGAAAUCAGAUUCUUCCCCUCUUCGGAGUUUGCUUUUUCUGCUUGUUGUAGUUGUUGUUUAUAUUUUAGUGAUUUUUUAAAACUAGUUUUAAAAAAUUAAGCUAAUUUACAAAACUAGUUUUAAAAAAUCACUAAAAUUAAUUCUGUAUUAUUUGUCAUGUGUGCCCCCUGAAGUCUCUGUUCCAUUAGCUUAGUCAUCAGCUAAAGAUUUAACAAAGAUUUCUAUAAAUAUCCUGAACAAAAAAAUUUCCCAAUCUUUGCAGAAGUGUCUGUUUUGAUGCAUGACUUCAAUAUUCAGCCUGGCAAUUUACAACUCAGCUAUAGCUUUCACUUUCUGAUUGCACAGAGCCUGAGGAUCAGCCAGAGGGGAAAAAAUAUUUGCCUGUAAAUGUUUUUGAGCAACGGUUUCCAAGUAGUGGCUUUAGUCCUGGGUGACUUCUGACUUAGGUAAGAUAAAACAAAUCUUUUGAGCCAACCUUCCAAGGAACCACCAGGCAGACCAAGGACGAUCUUUGCAAAAGAGGUCUAUUCUGCUUCUUCAGUGCUGGAACUGGCAAUGCAGGCUUCUAUUGUCAAGGCUACUGCUGAGCUGAGGAAAAAAGGAUAGAACUAGUGUAAGUUAAAACACCACAAAGCUCACUAUAAUUAUAAAGAUUCAGCAGUUUUUCUUGAAUAAAUGCUCCGUGGGUUGUUGCAAGCUUUUGUUAGUUUUCAGCAUUCCAAAAAUAUUGAUUCUGACAGGUUUUUUUCCCCAUUUUUUAGUUGAUUUUAAUGAGGGAUAGACUUUUAGAGUUGCUUACCCUGCCUCUUGUGCUGACGUCAUUCCUCUGCACACAUACUUUUAAUCAGAAUGAGUCAGGUACAUAAAGGAGCAAAUGCAUUAUAGGUCAACAGGUUGCUUUCCAAAUUGUCUCUUCAAAUUCUCUUUCUUUAUGAGAAAAUAUUUUGCUGAGACUUGCUUCUUAAGAAAAUGACCUGUGAUUUAUAUCGUGAUUCAAAUUUUAUGUUGCAAAUCUUCAUAUGAGCAAACGCAUCUCUGAAGAGAUCCAGUGAGAGAGUUGCUCAAUCAUCAAGAUGAAACGAGAGCGCCAGGCCAGGAUGAAAAUAAACUAGUGAUGAACAAGAAGAAAGAUAGAUGGAGUCUAAGUAAGAUAUUGCUUUGGAUGAAGAUUCUGGCAUUUCCCACAGUUAUUCCACUCCAAUAUGGAAAAGGAGCUGAUCUUCUAUUGGCACAAAUGCUAGCUCAUAUUCAGGAUAAAAAGUUCAACCUUUUUGUCCUGUCCCACAGUUUACAAAUCUGCACUUAAACAGCAGAAUGCCAUUAUUUGGUCACUCAUUAGAGAAUAUAAUUUAAACUCCCUGCUAUUCAUCAUUUGUUGAAAGCACAGCAAAAAUAAAUAAUGUAAAAGGAAGGUAAUCAUAUUUCUACCUUUGGAACUGGGAAAAACUUGAAUUCCUCUAGGUGAUGUCAAUACUCCUUUCUGGUAUAUUUAUUGAGACUAUCCAGAGCUGAAGAUACAGCAGUCAUCAAAGCAUAGAAAUUCUUCACUCUCAAGGACCUUACAUUCUAGUAAGAGAAGAAGAAAAUAAAUAAACUCUGUUCUCUCUGUUCUGUCAUCUAUAAAGAGCCACAGUAUGCUGAUGAUUUGGUUUAACCUUACUUGACCUCAGUUUCUUCAUGUGACAGGUAAAGCCAACAAGAAUUGCUUAACGGGUCGAAUGUGGGAGAAAGAAAAUGAAGAAUUUUCUCACAGACUAGCUUCUGGUAAUGAAGCCGAGCACCACUUCAUGAGCUGGGCACCAUAAGAUAGGUUCAUAUCCUGAUAUGAACUCUGGCUCUGCAUCUUCAUGUCAACAUAUCUGAUCCAAAUCUUUUGUGAGUUAUAUGAGUAGUUAUUAUAUCAAGAAUUCUUCCUGUAAAGAAAUAAUCCAUCCUCCACUCAGUCCACCUCUUAUAUCACACUUCAGGUCCUACAAAAUGUUCGGCAUUUUCCCAACUACAUCCACCUCCUUGGCACAUUAAAAUGAGUGUUGUACCAAAUGCCCAUCAAUGAUAGACUGGAUAAAGAAAAUGUGGCACAUAUACACCAUGGAAUAUUAUGCAGCCAUAAGAAAGAAUGAGUUCAUGUCCUUUGCAGGGACAUGGAUGAAGCUGGAAGCCAUCAUUCUCAGCAAACUAACACAGGAAUAGAAAACCAAACACCGCAUGUUCUCACUCAAAAGUGGGUGUUGAACAAUGAGAACACAGGGAGCGGAACAUCACACACCAGGGCCUGUAGGGGGUGGGGGGCAAGGAAAGGGAGAGCAUUAGGACAAACACCUAAUGCAUGCGGGGCUUAAGACCUAGAUGAUGGGUUGAUGGAUGCAGCAAACCACCAUGGCACAUGUAUACCUAAGUAACAAACCUGCACAUUCUGCCCAUGUAUCCCAGAACUUAAAAUAAAAAAAAAAUUAAAAAG